AUGGAAAACGGUGAGACGUUCCACUGCAACGACAGCGGCGACGGCGGCGGUGGAAGCAACGUGGUGGAGAUAUAUCCCUUGAGUCGUUACUUCUUCGGUUCUAAAGACGCCAUCCCUGACAAGGACGACUGCCUGGCCGACCGACUCCAGCGGAUGAAAGCUAACACUUGGUGGGUUUCUCGCAGUUACGCGGCUCGUGGGAUGAGGACUUGCGUCCACGGGAUCCUUCUGGUCGAAUUGUUUCAACACCCUCAUGUGCUAUUACUGCAAGUGAGAAACUCUUUCUUUAAGCUACCAGGAGGUCGUCUUCGAUCUGGUGAAUCAGAUGUUGAAGGUCUAAAACGCAAGCUAUCAAGAAAGCUCUCCAGUGAAGAAAAUGGCACAAAUGCUGACUGGCAGAUAGACGAGCGUAUCGGGAUGUGGUGGAGGUCAGACUUUGAAACGUUACCGUUCCCAUAUUUGCCUCCUAAUUUGCGUCGACCGAAGGAAUGCACAAAGCUUUUCCUGGUUAAGCUGCCAAUGACACGGCAUUUUAUCGUACCAAGAAACCUGAAGCUGCUUGCCGUGCCGUUGUGCCAAUUACAUGACAAUAGCGAGACAUAUGGCCCGAUUAUAUCCGGUAUACCACAAUUACUGUCAAAGUUCUCCUUCAACAUCAUCCAAGAUUGAACGGGACUUUACACUGUUGAUCCUUAGAUUGGAUAUAUAGACAUUGGAACAAACCUCUCAUUAUAGGAGACAAUCAACACGGCCUACCAGCAAAUGACUUCUAUCGUGUAUGGUGGCGUGGGAAAUUUGUAGCUGAAGUCAAUUAGCAUACUGCGAAUGUACGUAUAGUAUUUUGCGGUGCGGAGUCUGUACAAAGUGGUUUCAAGAAUGUGUCCCGAGUGCAGGAUAUGAGAUUGAACAAGUGUGAAUAGUUUUGAUGCAGGCGUGUUUAUGAACACUGAUGCAAAUGAAGUGCUGAUGGGCAGAGAACUGCCAUUAACAGGCAUCGAUUCACUGUUUACCAAUAACAUGUGGUGACACUCCCAAAUUAUGGGUUCUUGGGCACGUUAAUGUUGGCUCCCUCGAAGGAGUUCUUCCCGGCUGAUGCCAACACCGUCUUGACCGCAACUAUGAAGUAGGCAGCUCCUGCGACUGCAGUUUAGCCAAACUCUCUCCAUUAUUCGACCAUAGGCAACAGCAUGAAGAAAGCAUCUAAACUAGAGGCAGUGUGUCGAGAACCUGUGGAGGUGAUGAGGGCUUGGGCAGUGGGAUUAAGGUUGGAUCUCGCCCAUGGGAGAAUCUUAAAGCUAGCUAGCUACGAUGUAUGAAGCCGAGUUCAUCGACCGAUGGCCGAACACAGUCGAAGAUGAAGUAGAGAAGAGGAGGCUUACAGCUGCCACAGUUGCGACGACGGCGGCCUUCGCUCCGGCAACCACUCCCUCUGCCAGUUAUUCCAAGGAAGAUGACAAACAACAACCAUAUGUCAGACGGGCUUGCAAGAAGCGUAAUGCUCUUCUUUAUCUUUGUUGUUGAUCAAGCAAUAGCAAUGGUAACAGUAUAGAUACCGUGGGAACAGCGCUUGGCCAUGGCCAGCUUCUGAUCCAGAGCUGCACGAGUGACCGUGGUCAUGUCUCUUUUCUUCUCCUUAGCUAACUUGGAAGAGCGGAAAGAAGGUUGGCAGAAGACUGAAUCAAGCUGGGGAUGGGGAUGCCCAUGUAUAAGCGAAGCAGUCGAUGGUUUUGGUGUUUGGUAGUCGCUUGGUUUACUGUGUUUUCCGAUGGGUUUUACAGUGCGCGCAUGCUGGUUUCUGAAUCCAAAGAUCAGACUCAGAUAAGGCUUCGCCCCGCCCAUCGCCAUAGAGUUCUUUAUUGCAGCUUUGGGGAGUGUUGUACUGAAGAAAGAUUAAGCCAUAUAUAUAUAUAUAUAUAUAUUACAGCUUGUUAGAACUA